GUGACCUAGGUGCUGCUGUUUCCCUAUCAUAUAGAUGAGGAAACUAAGACUCAGAAAGACAGGAAACUUGCUCACAGCCCUCAACCAGCAGGGGUACAGCUGGGCCUCAAAUCCAGGUUUUGCUUCAUGUCCCUUGCUCUCCGACAUCCAGGCCUUCAAGAGAAGGGAUUUCUGUCACUCCUCUGGCUUUAAAGUCUUUGUCAAGGCCAAGAAGGAACUAUGAAGAGCUGUUCUGUGAUGGUAUCUAACAGAGGAGAAUACCUUCCUUUUCCUUUCUAAAUGGAGGACAGGAUUUGCAGAAGCUCUGAGUCCCUACUGGGAAAGAGAAAAAGAUCUGCAUGUUUCAUGGAUGCUGAAGCCGGAUUCUAAGAGGAAUGACAAAGUCAUUGCUAAUUGCAGCCAAUUACUCUAUCGGAUGGUACUGGUAGAGAAAAUGACUUCAAGUCUAGAGUUGCCUUGGAAAGAAUUACCAUACUGGUGGACACGGAACUGUAGUGCUGGUCAUCCCUCUGCACUGGACUGGAUUCUGCCAAAGUCAACUAAAUGGAGUUUUGCUCUUGCUGCCCAGACUGCAGUGCAAUGGCAAGAUCUUAGCUCACUGAAACCUCUGCCUCCUGGGUUCAAGUGAUUCUCCUGCCUCAGCCUCCCUAAUUAAUUUGUAAGUAGCUGAAAUUACAAAUAUGUGCCACCACACUCAGCUAAUUUUUGUAUUUUUAGUAGAAGCGGGGUUUCAUCAGGUUGGCCAGGCUGGUCUCAAACUCCUGAGCUCACGUGAUCCACCCACCUCAGGCUCCCAAAGUGCUGGGAUUACAGGCAUAAGCCACUGAACCUGGCCAGAAUAAAUCCUAGUAGUAGUCAUAAGAGACAAACAGAUUGUCUUCAAAUGAAUGAGCUAGACUAACUGCUGACUUCUCAAUAAUCAUAAUGGAAGUCAGAAAGCAAGGGAAUAAUAUCUUCAAUAUAUUUACAAAAGUUAAUAGCUGAUGAAUAUUCUAUACCCAGGAAAAAAUAUCUUUCAAUAUGAGAACAAAAUACUUUUUUAUGUAAGUAAAACAGAGUUUGUCAAAAUUCUAAAUUAUGUAUUUCAGGAAGAAAGAAAAUUACAGAUGGAAGAGUUGAAAUACAAAAAGGAAUCAAGAAAAAGACAAUCUUUCAGUUAUAAAUAAGUGAGUAAAUCCAAAUGAACAUUGAAUAUACAAAAAAUAACAAUAAGGUCCCAUGGCUUAUAUUUAAAAGCAUAAUUAAUGGAGCUAAAGGGUGGUAGGGUCCCUAUAUUAUCUGAUAAGAAGGUAAUAUAUUUGACUAGAUAAUAUAAGCAUACAGUUUCUUCUUUUUAAGACGGUAUUGGUCAUGAAUUAGUGCAGAGAAACAGAAAAGUACUUCAAGAAGAAAAUAAUUUUAUAUUGGGAGUUAGGAGGUUGCAAAAUCAUUGGGAAACUGGCAGUACAAAAGUUAGAGGGCUGCUUCUAGGCUUUUUUUUUGAGACAGAGUCUUGCUUUGUCACCAGGCACGUGGCUGGAGUGCAGUGGCACGAUCUCAGCUCACUGCAAUCUCCACCUCCCAGGUUCAAGCAAUUCUCCU
ensembl:lncRNA